UCGAACGAUGAAACUUAGUUUACUAAGUUGGAUUAGUGGCGCACGGGUGAGUAAUAUAUAGGUAACGUGCCUCUUAGUCUGGGAUAGCCAUUGGAAACGAUGAUUAAUACUAGAUACUCCUUCUAACUCUAAUGUUAGUCGGGAAAGUUUUUCGCUAAGAGAUCGGCCUAUUUCCCAUCAGGUAGUUGGUAGUGUAAGAGACUACCAAGCCUAUGACGGGUAGCGGGUUUGAGAGGAUGAUCCGCCACACUGGUACUGAGACACGGACCAGACUCCUACGGGAGGCAGCAGUGAGGAAUAUUGCACAAUGGAGGAAACUCUGAUGCAGCAACGCCGCGUGGAGGAUGACGCAUUUCGGUGUGUAAACUCCUUUUAUGAGUCAAGAAAAUGACGGUAGCUCAUGAAUAAGCACCGGCUAACUCCGUGCCAGCAGCCGCGGUAAUACGGAGGGUGCAAGCGUUAUUCGGAAUCACUGGGCGUAAAGGACGCGUAGGCGGGAUGCCAAGUCUGAUGUGAAAUCCUAUGGCUUAACCAUAGAACUGCAUUGGAAACUGGUAACCUAGAGUAUGGGAGGGGGAGAUGGAAUUAGU
rnacentral:rRNA from 1 species